CAGAUUCCUGGGUCUCGUGCUGACUGCCACAUCUCCAGAGGACACAGGAUAGGAUAAAGCAAGGGACCAAGCAGCUGGACAGAGUGAGAUAUCCUCCAGAUGCAUCUCUGGAAGUACUGCCUGGAGCAGAGAAACACCCUGCUGACAGAAAUGGACAGGCUAGGGUUAAGCCGAAUAGGCUCAUUUCUUCUCCCAAUCCCACGAAUCAGGCCAAGAAAGGAGAGUAGAGACCCGUACUCCCUUCAUUAAGUGUUAUCACUGCACCAAUGGCUUCCUACCAGCUUGGGAUCUCCUAAGAGAAAAGGCCCUUGCACAGUCUUCAGGAAGAGCAUUUCCAAGAACAAUAGCCCCAAGAGGAAUCUCCUCAGGAACAGAGGUCUUGUCUUACAUAGCUUACAGUCACUAGCAGUGCUUUGGGUGAAAAGGGAGCUCAAUAAGCAAUUGUGAAUUUUGUUUUAUUUUACUUUGCUUAGUAUUGCUUAGGGCCAUGAGAUUCAAAUUUAAAUCACUACAGACUUAAUUACAGUGGCAAAGAAUGGAGUCAGAAAACCACUUUAGUUUCCAAUCUCAAAAUAAAUGGCAGUGCAGUAAAGGUACUAAGAGAAAUCCGUUGGUAGGAAAACGGAGUUAGGCAACUCUUUAGCAAAUUUAGUGAUUGAUAUCCAUCUGAAAAUACAAGGCAGCAAUUUCCUUUGGUGGCAUAAUUUGUAGAUAAAAUUCUAAAUGAAAGCUUUGCUGGAACUAUUGGUAAUCAAAACACCUGCACAAUUAAUUUCAAAAUACCAUGUAUUACUUUGAGGGUUAAAUCACAUGUUUCACACACUUGCACACGCACGAGCAUUCACUUUCUCAGAAUAAAUGCCAGUAUACAUAUUUCUACACUUGGUGACUAUUCAUCAAUCUCACAGCUUGAUGUGAGAAGCUUACAAAAAAACAGGACUAAAAUUAAGAAUAAAUAAAUUUGUAAAAUUAUAUGAA